rnacentral:rRNA from 1 species
UACGGAGGGAGCUAGCGUUGUUCGGAUAUACUGGGCGUAAAGCGCACGUAGGCGGCGUCGUAAGUCAGGGGUGAAAUCCCGGAGCUCAACUCCGGAACUGCCCUUGAAACUGCAAUGCUAGAAUCUUGGAGAGGCGAGUGGGAUUCCGAGUGUAGAGGUGAAAUUCGUAGAUAUUCGGAAGAACACCAGUGGCGAAGGCGACUCGCUGGACAAGUAUUGACGCUGAGGUGCGAAAGCGUGGGGAGCAAACAGG